UACGUAGGCAGCGAGCGUUGUUCGGAAUUACUGGGCGUAAAGAGUGUGUAGGCGGUGCUCUAAGUUCGGUGUGAAAUCUUCGGGCUCAACUCGAAGUCUGCACGAGAAACUAUCUGGCUUGAGUGUGGGAGAGGUGAGUGGAAUUCCUGGUGUAGCGGUGAAAUGCGUAGAUAUCAGGAGGAACACCUGUGGCGAAAGCGGCUCACUGGACCACAACUGACGCUGAGGCGCGAAAGCUAGGGGGGCAAACAGG
rnacentral:rRNA from 1 species